rnacentral:rRNA from 1 species
CGCGUAGGUGGUAGUGUAAGUCUGAGGUGGAAUCCCAGGGCUUAACCCUGGAACUGCCUUGGAAACUGCAUUACUUGAGUCAGUGAGGGGAGGGUAGAAUUCCUGGUGUAGCGGUGAAAUGCGUAGAUAUCAGGAGGAAGGCCUGUGGCGAAGGCGGCCCUCUGGUGCUGGACUGACACUGAGGCGCGAAAGCGUGGGGAGCAAACAGGAUUAGAUACCCUGGUAGUCCACGCCCUAAACGGUGGGCACUAGGUGUAGGGCUCGUAAGGGUUCUGUGCCCGAAGGGAAACCCAUUAAGUGCCCCGCCUGGGGAGUACGGCCGCAAGGUUGAA